AGUAAUGAACACUAGGCCAAAGAGGAUGACACUCAUUGCAGUCUCUCGAAAUACUUUUCAAUGAGUUGGAUACCUCUCUUCUCUGAUUGCGAAAAGAGUCCACAUCGAAUGUAAAUGUAAAAAAUGAAAUAUAAAGUGUUCAUAUUUUUUAAUGAUGCCGAGGUUUUGGGUUUGUAAGCUCGUGUACCUUUCUAGACAAAAACUAAAUCUAUAUUAAAUUAAUUCUCUUUUGGAGGUACCGUUCACGUUAGGAUUUAAUUCAAAUUCUGAUAUCCUUAAUUUUUUAUUUAUAAUUAUUUCUUAAAAAUUAUUAUAAAAUAUCUAGUAUAAUAUGUGGUUUGUCCUUUAUUUUAAAAAUUUGUGACCCUCAUAUCCAUAUAUGCGAAACGAACAUAUUAGAUAGCGAUCACAUUAUUGUGUCCGGAUUUUGCGUGGUAAGUACUAUACACUAAGUUUGCCAUUUUGGGCUAGUGAUAUAGAUACCACUUCAUAUAUAUAUGUAUGGACUAGUUUAUCUGCAGUGAGGCCUCUGCUGUUGUUGGAGAUUUGGCAAAAGAUCUAUUUAGGUUAUGAUGUAAGAGCAUGGAAGGAUCCACGGAUUCCAACUUCAACUUCACCUGCAAGGUCGGCUAGGCCAAAUGUCCUAGUAGCACAUCUCAUAAUUAAGUUAGUGAUUUAGUUGAUGAAGAAUCAAUGGAAUGGGACGUUGUGAUGCUUGAUAACUUUGUAGCACAAGAAAUAUACUAUUGGUUAGAAGCUUGGACAUAAUCUGAUCUUUACAUCGUGAUACUUAUUGUUGAAUUUUUACCAAGAGUGGUAUGUAAACUGUUAAGUCAGGAAACUUGAUGGACAUACAUAUACUUAAGGCUGAAGAAUAUGUUGUUUACGUAAAACCAAGCAUCGCGAAACUCCAGCAUAGGUGGGGGAGGAUAUCACAGUUCAUUUUGAAGACCCAAAAACGUCCAUGAUGAGGAGCCAUAUAUCGGGCAAAGCCAAAGGAGAUUCAAGCUCAUUUUUACUUAGUUUUCUUAUGUAUGAAGUACUUAUGUAAAAUAUCUAAGUAUUAAAUAUUAUAAAAAGUGUGUGGAAAUAUGUAGAGUACUUAGGAGCGAAAUUGCUUAAGGGAGGCUAUUUCACCACGAAGUAACUUCAUAGAUAGGAAAAGAUCUGAGUUGUUAGAUCGGUUCAUUCUCAACCGUCCAUUAAGAAAGUGGGAUGUGUAUAUAAAGGGCUGAAGCCUCAUUGUAAGAUUCAUUCACCAAGUUAUAAAAUAAAUACUUCCUUAAGCUCUAAUCUCUCUCUAAAAUGUCCUCACUCUUUGUCUAUGUACUGAUCGAGUAAUAGGAGUUAGGCUGACUUAGCAAUCACUAGGAUGAAAAGGUGCUAAAACUGCACGUUCUGGCAAAGUAAAGAAUCAGUCUGUGACAACAUGCCCCCUUAGGUCUUCACCUACGUCCACCCCUGGACUCAAGGUCCCCCUCUCAAAUAACCACUCUUGUUUCCGUCAGUUUUUGAAGCAAUCAUACAUAGUUUUAAUUUUUCCUCUUAUUCUUUUUGUCGGCUAGUUUUCCUAUUAACAAAAAAAUCAAGAUUAUACAAAAUGCCAGUGUACAAAUAUAUCUCUCGAAGAGUAGCCUCGAGAGACUCCCACCCUUCUGGAAAUUAACUCAAUCUAACCAUUUUGAAUUUUUCUAAAAUAUGUAAAAUUCAGAAAAAUGUAUUAAAAUGAGUGUUUGACACACUUUAUUCUAAUAACUAGGGGUACUAUCGCGCUGCGCACAAGAUUUUAAAAUAUUGCUUACUCGUUUGUUGUAUAGAUGGUGUGGUUCUACUUGGUUACUUGCAUAUGUUAUUGAGUACAUGUUGGUAUGCAUAAAUGGUUUGUGGGAGGAUGGUGUUUUAGAUAUAUUUGGUCGUGUAGUCACAUCUGUUUGCCUACACGGAUGUGUGUGAGUGGUGGCUGUAUUAUUUAGUAGACAUAGAAGGUUGAUAUAGUGUCGUUUUGUACUGGCGGAGAUUUUCUUUGGCAUAGGUGGGUGUAUGAUGGUGUAGUUGUUGUGUCAUUAAAUUGUUGUUGGCAUUUGAUAUGCAAAUGGGUGAAUUUGAUUAUUUAGGUUUGGGCCUGCUUGCGUUUUGGAAAGUUAAUUGUAAGUGAUACAUAAAAAGAAAGAUUGGAUGUGUAACUACCAUACCUUCUCUAGAACAAAUCUAAAUGUUAGCGAGUCUUGUCAUCUGUAUGUAAUAAUAACACUUCUAGGAUUGCUCUUUUAUACAUUUCAUGUAGGAAUUUUGUGGAAUUCUUUAGACUCUUAAAUUAGCUAUGUAAAGUGGGUUUCUGUUUUUUCUUAUUAUGCCGAGCCGAGUGAUAUACAUGUGUAUUCCCAGCAAACUUUUGAUUUGUUUCUUUUUCUCCUAUCUAAUUUUAUCUGAAUAUGUGCUCCAUUCAUGAAAAUUUUCAGUGCAGAGCAUGAGCAGACCGUAGAGAUAUGUUGCAUAGUCGUGUGAAGUUGUGGCUGUGGUCCGUAUGUGAUGCAGCCCAAUGUUGAUGUUUUUGUACAUAUGGUACUCUUCUAUGCCUAAAAUGUAGUGGCCUCCAGUAGUUGGCCACCUCUGUUAGGUUCAACUUGUUGUAAACAUGUCAGUAUUUUGCAGCUUGUGUCAGCGGUGGUAAAACGAGCAUACUAUGGCUGGGAUGAUAUCUUGAGGAUGCUGCAACGUGUGACAUUAUGUCUCUUAAGAUGGCAUGUGAGAGAGACUCCAAUGGUGUCAGCUGUUUUGUUUGUUGUCAUUACUAUUUUUUUCUUUCUCAUAGAUGGUUUUUGAAAAUGAUUGUAGUAGCUGAGUAUAUAUAUACCGGAUUAUUGUGUAUAUGAACUUCACUUUAUCUAUCUUGUAACAGCAAGUGUUUUUGUUGUAUUGUUCUCUUAGUUGUUAAUAAGAGUAUCUCUUAUGGCUAUCCUCAUCUUUUUAAAUAAUGUAAAUUUAAAAUGAGUUUGAGUUUUGAUCCAAUAAUUUUUCUAAUUUUUCCCCUUAAAAGAAGACAUUCCAAAUAUAUUUUUUAUUAAAUUCUAAUAAUACUUUUUAAUACUUACAAAUUUUACUCAGUAAUAAAAUAAAAUAUUUUUUAUAUAUAUAAGUUUAGUUUUCAACAGCAUAAAUAAUGAUUUAUUAGAAUUUAUAUUUUUGUUAAUGGAAGUAUUAAUAAUUUUAUUAAAUUAUAAAAUGCAUAUCUUAAUAUAUUUAGAUAUAAAAAAACUAUGUAGAAGUUUAAAGAUGGUAAAUAAAAAAUAGUUUUAAAAUGAAAUUGUAAAUAGUAUUUCCUCAAACUUGAUGUGUUACAAAUUAUAUCUUCUCUAUUCAUUAAAAUUAUUUUUGGAAAUAAUAGCAAUUAGUGCAGAGCAUGAGCAGACCGUAGAGAUAUGCUCCAUAGUCGUAUGAAGUUGUGGCUGCGGUCCGUACGUAAUGCAGCCCAAUGUUGAUGUUUUCGUACAUAAGGUACUCUUCUAUGCCUACAAUGUAGUGGCCUCUGGUAGUUGGCCACCUGAUCUGUUAGGUUCAACUUGUUGUAAACAUGUCGCAGCUUGUGUCAACGGUGGUAAAACGAGCAUACUAUGGCUGAGAUGAUAUCUUGAGGAUGCUGCAACGUGUGACAUUAUUUCUCUUAAGAGUGCAUGUGAGAGAGAUUCCAAUGGUGUCAGAUGUUUUGUUUGUUGUCAUUACUAUUUUCUGUUUUUCUCGUAGAUGGUUUUUGAAAAUGAUUGUAGUAGAUUAGAAUAUAUACCGGUUUGUUGUGUAUAUGAGCUUCACUUUAUCUAUCUUGUUACAGCAGGUGUUUGUGUUAUAUUGUUCUCUUAGUUGUUAAUAAGAGCAUCUCUUAUGGUUAUCCUCAUUUUUUUUUUAAAAACGUAAAUUUAAAAUGAGUUUGAGUUUUGAUCCAAUAACGUAAAUUUAAAAUGAGUUUGAGUUUUGAUCCAAUAAUUUUUCUACUUUUUCCCUUAAAAGAGGACAUUCCAAAUAUAUUUUCUUCUUAAAGUAUAAUAAUAACUUUUUAAGAUUUACAAAUUUUACCCAGUAACAAUUUUAUUUUAAAUAAAUCUUUGUUAUAUAUAUAAGUGUAGUUUUUAAGAGAAUAAAUAGGAGUGUCAAAAUGGGUCAUGACACAUGGGUUUACCCAACCCAAGUUGACCCAUUAACCCAAAUGAACUAUUUAUUUUUGAUCCAAUUGGUUCAUGAGUUAACAGGUUAAUGGAUUAACAGGUUAAUGGGUUAACAGGUUAAUGGGUUAACAAGUUAAUGGAUUUAUUGGGUUGGGUCAACUCUGAACCAUUUUAUUUUCAAUUAAAAAAAAAACAUGAGUAAAUCCAUUUCUAAGGUUUGAUAGAAUUGAGAAAUCAUGAGUUUCUCUAAAGUUCAAUCAUUUAUUCGGUAGUAAAAUGCAUUUCCCGCCAAAACCGCAAAAAAUACAUUUUUCCGCUAAAACCGUGAAAAUAUGUUUUUCCGCCAAAACCGCAGAAAUGCGUUUUUCUGCCAAAACCGCAAAAACUUGUUUUCCCACCAAAACCAAAAAACACAUUUUUCCGCCAAAACUGCAAAAACUCGUUUUUCUGCAAAAACUCGUUUUCCCGCAAAAACAUGUUUCCCGCCAAAACCCCAAAAGCGCAUUUUCCCGCCAAAACCACAAAAUGCAAUUUUCCGCCAAAACUGAAAAACCAGUUUUCCUACAAAAACGCAUUUUUCCACCAAAACCGCAAAAACGCAAUUUCCACCAAAACCGCAAAAACACAAUUUCUCGCCAAAACUGUAAAAAUCAGUUUUCCCGUAAAACCGUGUUUCCCACCAAAACCGCAAAAAUGUGUUUUCCCGCCAAAACCGCGUUUUCCAGCCAAAACCACAAAACGCGUUUUUCCGCCAAAACUGCAAAAACUCGUUUUCCGCCAAAACUGCAAAAACUCAUUUUCUGCCAAAACGUGUUUUCUCGCCAAAACUACAAAAUGAGUUUUCCCGCCAAUAUUGUAAAGCUCGUUUUCCCGCAAAACUCGUUUUCCCACAAAACUGCGUUUUCCCGCAAAACCGCGUUUUCCUCCCAAAACCCAAAAACGUGUUUUCCCACCGAAUCCGCAAAAACACAUUUUUUCCGCUAAAACCACAAAACACGCUUUCCCGCCAAAACUGCAAAAAUUCAUUUUCCCGCAAAAACGUGUUUUCGUGCCUAAAUUGCAAAAACGUGUUUUCCACCAAAACCCACAAAACGAAUUUUCCCGCCGAAACUGCAAAAACUCAUUUUCCCGCAAAAAUGUGUUUUUCUGCCUAAACCACAAAAAACAUUUUCUCAUUUCGAUCAACUUGGUCUUAACUUAAAAAUAAUUCAUUAUAAAGAUGUUGGUUUGAUGGGUUAGCCAUUAACCCAUCUAACCAAUUUAAUUUAAUGGGUCAACCCAAUCCAUUUAAAUAAAUGGGUUGGGUUGACCCAUAACCCAUUAACAGUAAACUCAUUUGCGUUAUGGGUUGUAUUGACCCAUUUGACUCAUUUUGACACCCAUAAGAAUAAACAAUGAUUUAUUUGAAUUUAUAUUUGUGGUAAUGGAAGUAUUAAUAAUUUUAGUAUAAAAUACAUAUAUAUUUUUUUUACAUAUAAGAAAACUGCGUAGAAGUUUAAAGAUCAAUUGUUAAAUAAAAAAAAGAGUUUAACAUUAAAAUGAAAUUGUAAAUAGUAUUUUCUCAAACUUGAUGUGUUACAAAUUAUGUCCUCUCUUUUUUUCCUUUACAAUGAUGUAUUAUUGGAAAAAUUUCUUUCAUUUUUAUGCUUUUCCACAAAAUGAUGUAUCAUUGAAGUUGGUUUAAAUAAAGGAGUAGUGUAAGUUUAAGGCUAUGCAAAAUCAAGAAACUGAGUUUCAAACAUGUGGUGACAAUUGUUUUUAUAUGUGUUUUUAAAAGCAUCCAGUGCAUGUAACAUGGGAUGGUCGGUUGAAUUGUUAUUGGGCCUACUAGUUGGUAAUUAUUGGGUCAUUGUGGCCAAUAUUUUUUACCGAUGAUUUGUGCAUUGCUGUAAAAUUGUGAGGCAUAUGUUAUAUAUAUAUAUAUAUAUAUGGGCUUGUCUGUGAUUGUAGUGGCCCAUAGUUUAUAUACAGGGGUGUGUAAUUUAUGUAUGGGCGGGCCCGAGAUUUAAUUGAGUAAUGAAAACGAUGUAUUUUGCGUAGGAAUCAUUGUUUUUUUGUAGUUAAACUUAUUGUGGAUUAAUGAUAUAGAUUUGGUUUGUGGCAUGCGUUACUAAUGUUUUUAUUUUUAUCGUGGUCUGUUUUUUUUUUUAAAUACGAAGUAGUUGUUUCAUAUUUCCAAAAAAGGAGCAAAGCAGAAGCGGCCCACUCUCCUAAAGUGACGUUGACAACUAUAAUGGGCAUAUUAAACAUGGCCCAUGACAACUUUUAAUUGACAAGCAUAUCCAAUACAAUAUUAUAUCAACAAACAUGUGAGACUUUUUUAAAGAAGAGUCUAGCUGACAACAUGAAGAAAGAACAAUGUUGAGGUGGCAUGCUGUAAAGAGAGAAUGUUUUGAUUUAUUGAUAUAAAUUUUCAAGAUUCUCAGUUAAGCACUUGAAUAAGAAAAAGCAAAGCAGGUGUACAAAAUUAAAGUUUAUAGUGAAAACAAAAAAAAAUUCUACUCAAUGACUCACUCAUAACUUUAAAAAUGAAAACAAUCUUAAUUAGGUAAACGUUUCAGUUACAAAAAAGCGAGCAAUAAGAGUAUAUCAAUCAAAAGGAAAAAAAAUUAGGGUUUACAAACGAAAUGACAUUAUUGUGGAGGAUGUUAGUCAAUGUUAGUCUAAUAGGGAAAUGAAAAAAACAUACCUUUGGAAAAAGAGAUGACGGUGUUUGAACAUGAUACAACAAAACUUCAACAAUAGUGUUAAUCUGCAUAUACACAAAAAGGUUAGAAAAACUCAAAAGACGUUAAACUGUAAAAUUAAACUGGUCAUAUUUAUGCUUAAUUUCUUCAAAAUUAACUACGAAAUAUAAAAAUAACGGUUUUACCUAAAUUUUUAGAGGAGAUACAGAUUAGGAAGAUAACAGUUCAUAUCGGAAAAUUUGAAAAAAUGAAGGACGAUCAAAUCAUAUAUGGUUCAAGGGAUGAAUUGUAUAUGGCUUCAAGGGAGGAAUCGUUAUAAUAGUGCACAGGCAUAUAAACCAAAAGCAAAAUCAGCUCUCAUAAAAAUAUGUAUAUAUAAAAAGCUUAAUGUUUCUAAAAUAAUAAAAACAUUAUCAACAUAAAAAUUUCAGCAUAAAAAGUUGAGUGACUUUGUUUCUUCUGUUGUGAAUGUCUUAUAUAUAGUAUAUUGGUGAAUGUUUCUAAAUGAUUUAGUUUAUAUGAUAAGUUAAUAAAUAUAAUAUUCUUUAAUACAUUUUCAAAACAUUUUAUGCUUAUAAGAUAAGAUUAUUUUUGGAAUAUUUUGUUAGUAAAGCUAAAAUAUAAUAACUCGUGAAUAUAUUGUACAAGAACUUUUAGUCACAAAUCUCAUUAUAAAUAUUAAAUGCAUGGUAUUAUAUGAGAAAUAUUCUCGUCAGUUGAUUGUAACAACUUUUUGAUUGACAUAUUUCAUUAUAUAUAUUUAAAUAUUAAAAUAUAUAAGAAGAAAUAUAAAAUAUAAAAGUAGAUUCCAAUUUUUUUUUUAAUUUACAUAUCCCACUAUAAAUAUUUAAUAUUACAUUCAUGGUUAUUUUGAAAACUAUAACUUAUGAAAGAAAUAUUUAAAUAUUAAAUGAAUAAUUUUGAAUCAAUAGAAUGAUUAUAUAAAGCAUGCUAUAAUAUCAUAUUUAAAUUUAUAAUGCAUUAAUAAAAUAGUAAAACCCAACUUCCGAGUAUAGUAUGUUUAUCGUAUAGACAAUAUGUAUAAAAUAGUAUACUAUUUACACGAUAAAUAUGUAAAAAAAUUAAUACUAAUUUUUUUAAAAAAAAAAUUGAUUAAAUUAUUUGAAAUAAAAUUAUAUAGUACUUACAAAUUGGAAUCAUAUAUAUACUUUAUUAUAAAAUUGUAUACAUGUAUAUCUUAUAUUUUACAUAACACUAUAUAUUUCAUAUCAAUCUGAAAUUCAUAAAAUAUACACUGUAUAAUAUGAUAAAAUUGAAUGUAGUAAGAUAUUAGCAUAAAAUUGUUUAUUAAUGAUGUUUCAAUUGUAGUGAUUUGAUUUUUAUAUAAUAAUAAUCUAAUGAUUGAUUAUUUUAUAGUAUUUGAUUAAUAUAUGUGUUUGUCUAUGCAAUGGGCUGAGCUGAAUAAUAUUUCUAUUUGUUUAUUUUAAAAUUAAAUAUUUUUUCUAGUCAUCAAAUUUGGCAAGUGUAAUCCUAGUCACAUAUGACUGGAUAUCCUAAGUAAAUUUUGGUGAGCCACAAUAGCACGUUAAUUAACCAAUAAAAUUAUAACAUUUUCAUUUAAGUGUGUUCUCAAUUAAUAGUAUGAUAGUGUCUACAAUAUACUAUAACUAAUUACAUAUCAGUUACUUUUGAAGAGAAAAAAGGGAAGAUGAAGCGGAGAAAAAAAAAUAGGAGUAAGAGGAAGAGAAAGAAGGAAGAGAGAUGAACGGGGAAAGAGAACAAAUGAAAAAAAGGAAAAGAGGGAAGAUAAAUGAGGAAAAAAAAAGAGGAGGAGUGAAGAAUGAGAAAGAAAAAAAUGUGGAGGAGAAGAGGGGAGAAGGAUGAAGAAGACGAGUUGAAGAAAAAUAUAUUCUACUGUAUUAUACUGUGCCAUUAAAAUAAAAUAGUAAAUAAUAUUUAUAAUAUACUAUAACCGAUUACAUAUUGGUUGUUUAAUGAAAAUAUAAAAACAAAUAUGAAAGAAAAUCUAUAGCUUUGUCCAUAGAAUUCUAAACAAAUCAGCUUUGACUUACAAUUAUAUAUACUACAAGAAGUGUUAUUUCUAUUUUUUUGUACAAGUCGAGAAAAUAUAGAAUAGACUCACAACAUAUAUAUAACUUUUCAUCUUCUUCUUCAACUCACUAUCUAGUUUUUAUAUUCCUUUUCUUCCAUCUCAUAUUGAUUCAAAUAAUUAACUAUAAUGUGAAUUUCUUAGUUUUGUCUUCCAAUUUUCCUUAUCUUUGGAGUACUCAUCAUUAACACAUUUUUUCGGUUGAUGCAGUUUUUAUCAUCGUAGGAGAAAGAAUCAUGAAAAAAAGAUAUGAUUGAGUUAUUAUGGAGAAGAAGAAAAAUAAGAGUUUUUUUUGUUCGCCCUUAGACUAAAUAUGUAUGUUCACCAUUGAAAUGAUAGCCAAUAAAAAUUUACCAAAUUAUAUUCUCUUUUUAUGAAAAAACUACAAAAUAAUCAGAAGAUAGUAUUCAACUAUUCAUUACUGAAAAAUAAAAAAUAAACUUUAACUGUCGCCAUCAGUAAAACCUUAAAUCCUAACCAUCAGCAAAACCCUAAACACUAGGGUUUAGGGUUCAUAGGGUUAAGGCUCAUAUAGUUUGAGGUUUAGGGUAUAGAGUUUAAUGUUUAGUGUUUAGAACUUAGGGUUAAGGGUUUAGGGUUUGGGUUUAAAAUUUUGAUGAUAGCGCUAAUGAUGUCAAAAAAAAAUUCGUUAUUUGACAAAACUCUCAUGGGCUUUUUUUCCAAAUAUGACUCAAAACAAAAAGUCAAACACAAAACCAACCCAUGAUUUUUUUGAAACUUUCAUUUGCCCUAUUAACCCCAGAAGUUUGGAUUAUUCAAGAAAAUGUCAUUACCAUUUUUUUUUUUAAAUGAGUGUUUUACUCUAUCAUUCUCACCUUCAUCAAGUACUUACAAUAUUGUCAUUGUCAUCAAUCAAACCCACCAUGAACAUCCAAUUUGAAGCUCUUAAUGCACUAAAGUUUCGAUUUUUACUCUUCAUAUCUUAUUACUUGUACACACAAACUACAUCUCUUUUACGUUGUCUCUAUAUUCAUUAAAAAAACCCCAAGAUUUUGAUUUAACCUUUAUAAGGUUCAAAAUCAUGAUUCUUAGUCAUUAACAAGUGGGUAUGUUUCAUGGUGAAGUUCUUUUGUGAUAAGAGAAGUUAAUCAAGUUAUAUCACUGGUUGAAAGUAUAAAAUUGAUUUUUUUUUCAGAUCUAUUCGUCAGAAGAAUUCCGUGUAAGACUUCUGGUCGUAGAAGACUUAUACGGAAGUCUUCUGGUCAAUGCAGAUGUUAGUUUUGCAAUUAACUUUAUGUGUGUGUUUUUAGAGACGACUUCUCUGGAAAUAUUCCAACUUUUCUUUGAUAACAAAAAAAUCUCAAAAGUACCAGAAAAGAUUUCCUGGUAAGUCGUCUAGGAUAAACAAGUUAGUUUUGCAAUUGACAGGAUUGUGUUAGAAGUUUAACCUUUUCUAGAUGACUUUUAAGUCUUCCAAACUCUCGGUGGAAGUUUUCUCACUGUCGGUGAAAGUAGUCUCGGGUUACUUUUGCAAUUGAAAAAUAAAACUUAAAUAUUUCAUUUUAGUUAGACGACUUCCAUGUAAGUCUUCCUGAAGACGAUUUACGCGAAAGUCUUCCAGAAUUUUACUCCGAGAUUCUGGUCAAACCAUGGUUAUCACAGAAGACUUUCGUGUAAGUCUUACGCCGGAAGACUUACAUCGAAGUCGUCUAGUUAAAAUUAAAUACUUAAAUUUUAUUUUUCAAUUGGAAAAAGUUACCUGAAACUAUUUACAUGGAUGUAAUAUAGUUAAAUGUAAUAUUUAAGUUUUAUUUUCUGUGGAAGAUUUCCAUUUAAGUCUUUUAGAAAAUGUCAAAUUUGUGACAAAAUUCGGUAAACUGCAAAACUAACAUGUUUAUCCUAGAAGACUUACAUAUAAGUCUUCUCUGGUAUUUUCAAGAUUUUUUCAUAAGCAAAAGUAAGCCAAUACUUACAAAGGAAUACUUUCAAAGAAGUCUGCUACAAAGUAGACUUCUAUGGAGGUAUUUCUUCGUAAAUUUUCAAUAGCAAAAAUGACUUAAAUGGAAGACAUCUUGGAAGUCUUCUGGCGGACAAUUUCUGUGGAAGUCUUUUACGUCAAUGUUUUAUAAAUUUUCAUUUUCUAGUUAAUUCAUGUAUAUUGAUCGAUAUUGGGGCUCCUGAAUAACAUUCAUAUAUUAAUUGAUUUUGAUUAUGAGGUUAGCAACAUUCAUGUUUAUUAAUGUUUCUAGCUAAUUCGAGAAGACAUUCCACGGAAGUCUUAUACUUUAGUUUUUGUAAACUUGUUAAGUAACUCUAAGAUAUUUAUUUUAAUUUUCAAUAGGGUUAAGUAACUUCAAUAUUAUCAAGUUAUAUGGUUUGUAUGUCUUCUUAGAUCAUUAUAUAUACUUUUCAAUUUUCAUAAGAAUUGAAAUUUCAAUUUUCACCUAAGAUCUAAGUUUUCCACCUAAAUUUUAAUUUCUCGCUCAAAUUUCCAGCUUAUAUUUUAUUUUCUCGUUUAAAAUUAAGUCUUUCGAGAAAACUUCCUGGAAGACUUCCCAAAAGACUUCUAGUGAAAGUGCUAAAUGUUUGAACUUAUAUAAUGUUAGAUAUUGUGCAUUUGAAUAAGUUUUCUUAGAACUCUUCUUCCUUAGUGUUAGCAAAUUUGAUUAAACUUUGUGUUAUUUUAUUUUGCUAUAAAAUUUGUAUUAAUAAGUUCAAUAAGUUCAAGUAUUUUUGGCAAGAUAAUAUUGUAAGCAUGAACAUAUUUACUAAAAUUUUCAUUAAUAUCUCUUCAAAUUUACAAAAAAAUCACAACUAAAAGAGUACACUCAUAAAUCACAAAACAUGACAUAAAUAAAACUAUUACACACGGAGUUAGCUAUACUUUAGUUUUUGUAAACUCGUUAAAUAACUUUAAGAUAUUUAUUUUAACUUUCAAUAGGGUUAAGUAACUUCAAGAUUACCGAGUUAUAUGAUUUGUAUGUCUUCUUAGAUCAUUAGAUAUACUUUUUAAUUUUCAUGAGAAUUGAAAUUUCAAUUUCACUUAAAAUUUAAGUUUUCCGCCUAAAUUUUAAUUUCUCGCUUAAAUUUCCCGCUUAUAUUUUAUUUUUCCGUUUAAAAUUAAGUCUUCUGAGCAGACUUCCCAAAAAACUUCUAGUGAAAGUGCUAUAUGUUUGAACUUAUGUAAGUUUUGAUAUUUUGUGAAUUUGAAUAAGUUUUCUUAGAAUUCUUCUCCUUUAGUGUUAGUAAAUUUGAUAAAAUUUUGUGUUAUUUUAUUUUGCUAUUAAAGUUGUAUUAAUAACUUCAAUAAGUUCAAGCAUUUUUGGCAAGAUAAUAUUGUAAACAUGAACAUAUUUACUAAAAUUUUCAUUAAUAUCUCUUCAAUUUAUAAAAGAAUUUACAACUAAAAAAGUACACACAUAAAUCACAAAACAUGCCAUAAAUAAAACUAUUACACAUGGAGUUAGAGAUUAUUCCUCUUGACAUGUGAGAAGACUCCGUCAGAAGACUUCUAGAAAGUCUUAUAGGGAAUUAUGUUUUAGAAGACUCUGUCAGAAGACUUCCAGGAAGUCUUUCGGGAAGACUUCCAAAAUUUGACUCAGAUCUGAAAAACCUGCAUAUCCAAAAACGUUCAAAUGCCUUCAAAACAGAGAAAAUGGGUAGAAAAUUAGAUAAAUCUAUCCAAACGUUGAAAUGACUUCAAAACAGAGAAAAUGAGUAGAAAAUUAGAUAGAUCUAUCUUUAUAGAAUACACAAUAUAUAUAUCCAACAUUUAUAGAUCUAACUUAAAGGAGUGGAAAAUGAGAAUCAUGUAAUAAAAAAACCUGCAAAAAAAGAUAAAUUAGUGAGAAAGAUAUGAGACAAAAAUGAAAAAUUGAUAUAAAGUUUGGUAUUUCCAAGUUCAAAAAGAUUAGAGAGAGGUUAGAAAAUUUUAGUUUGAGAAAAAGGUAAGAGCUUUAUGCAACAAGAGGUUACCUAAUGAAGAAAAAUAAGACAUGAAGGCUUUGUGACAAAAACUAAAAAAAAGCUAUCUUAGGGAAUUUUUCUUAAAUUAAUGAAUACAUCAUUUAUUUAACUGAUAUAAAUUUUUAUCAUAGUAUCAUUUUUGGUAAAGUGAUACAAAGUGCAAAAAACAUAUCAUUUUAUUGAAUUGUAUUUAUUUGUCUCAUUUAUAAAUAAGUGAUUUGAAAUAGAAUCACUUAAUUAUGUGAUACAAUUUAAGUGAUUCAAUUCCCUUCUUUUUUUGUAGUGAAUUGUUUUCCACUUGAUUGACACAACAAAAGCUGAAAUGAGAGUACAUGUUUUUUUCACUCAAAAUAUAUCGUGAUAUCUGAUUACACUCCGACUAUAUCUAAAUAAAUAAUAUAAAUUUUUGAUUCGAGACAUAAAUAUCUUAAUAAAAUGUUUUGAAUGCAAACAUUAAUUAAUUUUCUGUAAUGAUAUCUACGAAUAACAUUUUGAAAUCUCUUACAAAGUGAUUGAAUGUAAACAUGUGCUCUAUUUUUUUGCAUAUAUGAUUAGUAGAAAGCCUCCACAACCGUCGUAACAUUGCCAAUCGAUGAUAUUUCCCAAAGUAAAGUGUUUUUGUUUUGAUCUCUUACAAUCGAACAUGUAUUUUCUUGAAUCUCAUUCUUCUAAAUAUGAAUAAAAUUUAAAUUUAACAAUUCCAUUAUUUGGUUGUGCCCAUUUAUAUUUUUUGUCUUUAUUGUUAGGUGAACUUCAAGUGACUGGUUCUCCCUCGCACUGUAAUUCACUUUUAGGCUUGGUUGUAUCGUUUAUCUAUUUUUGUACCUCAGUAUGUGCUUCCAUAAUAACGUUUUGGUAGAUUAUGUUCUUUUGAAAUAUUAAGUUACAUCUUGACUUCCAUAUUCUCCACAUGAUCCAAAAGGAAGCAGACUUUCAGAUUGGAUAGCCAUGGUAUGUUUUGUACAUUGAUGAUUGAAAUAGUAUGAUCAACACAUAAUGUGAUGGUAAUAUUUCCAUGUACUUUCAGACAUUCUCCAGAUCAUUUAUGAGAUCGGACAUGAAAAAAAAUAUGUGAUAUAGUUUCUGAUGUCGAGCAACAUCUCCGAAACAUAUCCAUAAAAUUACCCUUUGUACUUAAUCUAGCAGUUGUUCCAAAUUCUUGAUUGGAUCCUCCAUAUGAAAUAUUUUAUUUUUGGCAUGGCCUAGAGCUUCCAUAAUAUUGAUUUUAGUCCAUUAUCACCAUAUGGUGUAUUAAUGUUUGUUACGAUGGGAUUAAUGUUUUAUCUGUUGUCCAAUAACUACUUUCUCCACACGUUGUAUAGUUACAGAUAACUCAAUCAUUUUUUAUCUUUGAUUGUAACUAGAUUAAUAUGAUUAUUUUACUAUCUUCCUCAUAAAAUAACUUGCCUAUAAGAUUGGUAUUCUAUUGUUGGCUACUACCCUUGGAGGUGAUCAAGUCUCUAACUAAUAGAUCAUUGACUAUCUGAUGGCAUAUAGCUGAUCAGGGGGAUUUCUUUCUAUCCAAUUGUCUUUAUAGUCUUUUGUUGUUUCACCAUCACCAAUUAUGGUGUAUAAUCCUUUCUUCAGAUGAUGAAACCGGUAACAAUGUAACUUCAUUCAUACGGUUGAUUCGUGAGUUCAAUAUAAUUGUGUCUUUGUUAUAUCAAUCUUUCAUUAGUCGUGCAAAUAAAGAGUUCAUGUGUUUGUGAAGUCCUAAUACUUGUUUAGCCAAAAGAGAAUCAUUAAAAAAAAUUGAAUCCUUAAAACCUAAAUCUUCUUCCUUCUUAGGGUCUGAAUGGUAACAUGCGGAAUAGAUGUAGUACUGUUAUAAUAGUAAUAAAAGCUUAUAUUAACCGCAUGAUGGUGCCGUUUAGUUACCAUUUCAAAGCCUGCAGUUUUUUUCAUGCAAUCCAUGAUAUACUUUUGUUAUGCUAUCCGGUUUCCCACCAAAAAAUGCAUCAACAUAUAUGUUAUUUCAUCCACUAUUUAUUUUUUGUAAUUAAAAGCAAGACACUGAAAAAACUGGCACUGAAAACCUCACUGAUUUAGUAAGUGUCUGCUUUUUCAGUAUUUGACAUAAAAUUUGUGCUCCAGUUUGAUUUUAUUUGACAAACCUUGUUUAAAAUGUUCUCAAACAUUUCUUUCUUUAAUUUUUAAAUUGUUCCAACAGCCCUAUCUAUUUAUCAUCUCUUCCAUGAUAUAUAUUCCAUGAUUUGGAAUAUUCAAAAUAUCCUUAAGUUGUAGUUGUAGCACCAUAUGUACUUGAGCCGAUUGUGAUUAUGGAUCUGGAUGGAUUAAUUUUUGAUCUGAUGCAAGCUCAUGUUCUUUGAGAAUUUCUUUAGUUUCUCUGCUAUUCCUAGUGUUUGCUUGACAAAAAAAUGAGAAUCAUCUGCAAAGAGGAGUGGUGAGAUAGGAGAGAAUCCAUAACCAUUUAAUUUCCUUUUUCAGACCAAAUGUUAUCUGCAAUUAGAUUAAUCAAAACAUCUGCACUUAUUAUAUGGAGGUACAAAGACAAGGGGUAACCUGUCGGAGACCCUUUGUGGCCUUAUAACUUCUUUCACAUUUCCAUAUAUAAUAACUGGAUAUUCUAUAGGCUUCACAGUUUUCAUAAUCUAUUUGUUCAAAUGUCCACGGAGAUUGAAGGCUCUUAAUGUGGAUUCUAAAAAAUCUCAUUCUAACCGAUCAUAUGCUUUAGUGAUGCAUGUCUUUAUCACCAUAUCAUUAUGUGAAACUCGUUUCUUUGAUUUUAACGAGUGCAUUAGGUCAAGAACAAUUAGGAUGUUAUGAAGGCGCUUGGAGAUUCAAAUAUUAUUUUAUUGAUUCUGGAAGUGACUUAAAUCUCUGUGUACCAUUAAAAGAUCACACUCGUUUAGUACAAUAUGCUUUUUGGAUUAUAAAAAAUAUUUUUUAGUAAAAUAAAGAUAUUUUCCUAUAGGAAAAAGAGGCUAGUAUAAAUACGGGUUAACUGAUUGAAAUUAUAAUUUUCACACAAUCAAUAUAGAAAUUUUAAAUGGGUAUUUUUUUCAAUCAUACUUUUUGCCUUACUUUCGUCGAAGUUAAUUUCUCUUAUGUGCACAACAAUUUUGUCAAGGAAAACUUUUAUCUUCUUUACAAAUUUUUUUGCAUCAUUUUGUAAAUCAUAUUUCACAACCAGUGAACUUAUAAUCAUAUAAUGUUGCUGGCCUAGCUAUUUUAGGAUCAUACAAAUGUUGGUAUGGUUGGUUCCAUUUUUCAUGUAUAAUGUAUCAAAAAUGUUUUUGCUUCACAGAUCACAUCUUUUCCAAUAAUAUCCCAACCUAACUGAUACAAAUGAGUUGUUAAGGCAUCAGGUCCCAUAUUUAUAUCCUCACAUAUAUAUUUCUUGACUGCCUCUGCUAUUUUUGUUGCAUUCACCUUUUUUUGUUAAUUUUGCAUUUAUUUCUCUUUAACGAACGGUUUGAAAAAUUUCGAAAUUGAUAUUUCACAGUAAAAGAAAAAAAUAAAAAUUAAUAAUAACUCUUAUCUUAUUUUUUUGUUAUUGUAAAAUUUGCUGUUCUAAUUUCAAUUAAAAUCAGGACGUCCAAAAUAAUUAUUUUGGUUGUGCUGUUUUGGGCUUUUAAAAGCUAUAGCAAGAUUGUACCAUGGUUGGUUAUGGGUAAUGCAAGAACCUCUUAAUCUAUCGAACAUGGAAUAUUAAAAUUUGAAGAGAGCACUAGAAACAUUAUGACUCUAAAGCUUUUACUCAGAGUAACAAUUAUAUUUGACAAAGAAAUAACAUUUUUUUAUUAAAAUUAAUAAUUUAAAUAAAAAUACUUCUAGUAGUCUUACCUUUAUACCUUUUUUAAUGUAACUUUUGACUGUUCCCAAGAUCAUGGUUGUGUACAAAGAAGUUAUCCAUAAGAAAAAAAAUCCAAUUUGUAACCUUUUUUAGCAGUAUAAUUAAUCUAACCACACAAUGAUGGUCUAAUGACAGGUGAGUUUUAGAUUGAUAAGCAAUUUAAGUUCAAAGGCCCUUCACAAUACUCGAUCGUGUGGCAACACAAAUAUGCGCCUCUUACUUACAAUUCGUUUCAAUACCGGAAAGAGGAUAUAUCUGUGGAUUACACUUUUCUUUGGAAAUUAAAUUGAGCCCUUCAAUAAGUCCGAGAUACUCUAGAUUUAAAAAGUAUGUAAUCGUUUACAUUCGUACAAAUCUUCUACUAUAUAACUAUUCUAUAUAAGUAGAUGUUAUUUAUUUAUAUUAUUCAAAACCCGAAAUGCUUUUAUUGUACAUUAAAAGAAAGAAAAUCCAUUCAACCAUACUUUAUACAGAGAGAUAUCAUCAAUUGUCAACCUCGCAAUUUUAAUUUGAUUUAGUAAAAUUGUAAUAUAUAAUAAUAUAUGAGGUGUUUUUAUUUUUGCUUCAGAAGUCAGAAAAGAUUUAGGGUUUUCCAUAAAAGAAACAAUUAUAAAAAGGAAAUUAUUCAAAAAAAAGUUGGAAUACAUGGUUUAGAGAUGAAUGAUGAAUCAUCCAUGAUGAUCCAAGGGUCAUGAUCUAUCAGUUAAACGAAGCCUUGAUACUCUUUCUAUCAGAAGGUAUAUGACUUUCAAUCUCAUUAAUAAGAGAUAUGACCGAGGAAGUAUAUUAUAGAAAAAAAAGAUUGCACCUUUUGACCAAUUUGACUGGAAAAUCAUCUAUUUAAACUUAGUCUAGAACAAAGAUCAUUUCACCACCUCCAUAAAAUAUCUAAGAAAUAUUAUGGCUUAUUCUUCUUCUCUUUUUCCUUCUCCAUUUUUCUCAACCGAUUCUUCUUUAUUUGAAGUGGAGGUAACUCGAGACGAGUUUCAUUCUUUCCACAAAAUCGAUAGAGACUUGUUCACUCGCCUCGUCUUUGUUCUAAAACGAGACAUGAACCAAUCGUCUCAAGUGAUUGCGUUUCUCCUCGUGGUCGAGCAACUUCGCUUUGCACGCAACUUGGUCGCGUAUCUUGUCUCAUCACAAGACAUGUUAAUCGACGCGGUGGCCAAUGAAGUCGGUGUGUGUCUAAGUAUCUUAUACAACCAAGACUACUCAAGCUUCUUCCUCCUUAACCACAACAACAAUGAUGAGGUGGUUAUUCCUUUUCUCAAAGGUCUAACUGACAGUAAUCUCACUCUCAGUUACAUCAACCAGUACCGCGAAACUAUUCUCGUUGGAGUGACAAAGAAUUUGAACGAUGUCUGCAACCGAGCUUUCGAUGAUAUAUACGAGAAGGGCUACAAAGAGCAACUGUUGGCGAUAGAGAGGGCAAAACUCAUUGAGGAGAUGAAGAAGAUCCGGUUGGGUGCUCAACAACAAACCCCUACUAGGUUGAGUGUUCAACACCAAACCCCUAGCUGGUGGAAUGUUCACCAACAGAUCUCUCGUAGGUCGAGUGUUCAACAACGAACCUCUAUUAGAUCGAGUGUUCGACGAUCAACCCCUAUAAAGGUGAGUGCUCCACAAGAAUGGGUUCCUGCUCCAGAUGUUGAAAAAAAAGCAAAGACGGUCGUGAUGGAGACAGAGGGGGCGGACAUCAAGGAGGACGAGGAAGAGGUGACGCCGGCAGAUGAUAGGACGGUGAUUCUAAAGUUUUCCAAAGGAUAUCCAAUUUCUGAAUCGGAGGUUAGGGUUCACUUCACGAGGGAGUUUGGAGAAGUGAUAGAAGCCAUUGUGAUGCAAGAAGUGCAAGAGAAUGAGCAGCCCUUGUUUGCGAGGAUGGUGUUGAAGAUGGAAUAUGCGUCGAAGAUUGAAGAGAUCGUGACUCCAAUGAACAAAAACAUGUUCACUAUUGAUGGAAAACAUGUUUGGGUUCACAAGUUCUUCGCUGCGCCCUCCUCCUCGCAUGUUUGACCGUCUUCUUGAGUCUUAUAAGUUGUGUUUUUGCUUCUGAAUAAAAAAUAGUGUUUGUUCUUUAUUAUUACAUUGUAAUUCAUUAAAGUGGCAAGGUGGAUUACCUAUUUUCUAAUAUAUCUUUCGUUUUGAAUGUGAAUUUUUUUCUAUUGGAUAAUACAAUUUUAAAACCUGAAGUGCAGCACCCAAGGAGCAAAAGACCUUUUUUCCUCGGUUGUAAAAGUUCAGAAUAAAUAUUAAAAUUAAAUGUCUGAUAUAGGGAUAAGUUGGAAUAUUAAUAAUUAAAUUAGAAUCUUAACAUUAAUGACAUUUAUAAAUUUGAUAAAAAAUACCACAAUAUCAGAAUUUUUAAAACCUGAAGUGCAUCUAUUGGACAUCUAUUGGAUAAUACAAUUUUAAAACCUGAAGUGCAGCACCCAAGGAGCAAAAGACCUUUUUUUCUUGGUUGUAAAAGUUCAGAAUGAAUAUUUAAAUUAAAUUUCUGAUAUAGGGAUAAGAAUUAGAAUAUUCAUAAUUAAAUUAGAAUCUUAACAUUAAUGACAUUUAUAAAUUUGAUAAAAAAUACCACAAUAUCAGAAUUUUUAAAACCUGAAGUGCAUCUAUUGGACAUCUAUUGGAUAAUACAAUUUUAAAACCUGAAGUGCAGCACCCAAGGAGCAAAAGACCUUUUUUUCUUGGUUGUAAAAGUUCAGAAUGAAUAUUUAAAUUAAAUUUCUGAUAUAGGGAUAAGAAUUAGAAUAUUCAUAAUUAAAUUAGAAUCUUAACAUUAAUGACAUUUAUAAAUUUGAUAAAAAAAUACCACAAUAUCAGAAUUUUUAAGUUUACAAAAUGAAAAUUUUCUUGGACCAAAGUUUAAAAUUAAUUACGAUAAAAUUAUAUGUAAGGUAACAAACGGCUCUCAUAAAAUUAUGAUUAUCAAACAAAAUUUAGGUUGUAUUUAUUUCGUGGUACGAUACUUUUUUUUAUGAAAAUAAAUUUCAGCAUGUAGAAAAAGAGGUACGAACUAAAAUGAAUCGACAACAAAACUAAACAAACAAAUAGUAGCCAUUGGAAUUAUUUUGCAAGGAAUUCAUUCAUUAUUAGUGAAAAGUGUAGGAUUUUGAAAUGUAAAAUGCAUGAUAUAAUUCGGCGUAUGUAGUUCGUACAGAAGAAUAAUAAAUCAAAGCAUGAUCAGACGGUUACCAAAUAUGGUAUUUACGAUCAAAGCUUGAUCUUAACAUUCAUACAAGAAAAGAAUAAACCAAAGCUAUUGGAUGGUACUAUGAAGGCAAUGUUAUUUCUAUAGGAAAAAAUAACCGCUGAACUCUAAUUAAAUCCCACCAUUUUGUCUUGUUGCCAAGAUAAAAGCAUGAAUUAUGUUUCGUGUUUACCCAAGAAUUUUUGAUGAACCAUAUCACUCUGUUCUUGUAUUUCAACAUGUAAAAACCAAUUAACUCUAAUUAAAACCCCUUACCAAUCCUUAAGUUUUAGUUUCAGCUAUGACAAUUUGACUUUUGAUACAAUAUGCUACAGAUGUUCGGUACAACUUGUAAUAGUGUUUGAAGCAUGGUUGUGAAAUGUGUCCAGAGUGCUCUUCUGCUGCAUCAGUGGAGUUGACAAAGACAAGAACCAAAGCGAAAAUACAAGAAAGAAUUACCGCAAUCGGUGUAUAUGUGGAAUUAAUGGAGAAAGGAGUCUUCGGGUUGAAGAGUGGAGAUAAAAGCUUGGGAAGUCCAAUGCUGCAACUAAUUGCUAUUAUUUAUCAGAACAUGCGGUAAAAUGAAAGCUCCAGAAACAUAUAUGGAGGAUAAACCUUCAAUUCAUCCUCUUAAUGGCAAGAAAUAUGCUCGCCUUCUACAUACCAUGCUCAAUCAACCAGUGUUCAUGGUAUUGUGGUUACUCUCAAACACACCACAUGAGUGAUGAAGAUAUUGCUUGGAAUUGUCAAAGGUUGGGAAUGUAGAUAAGUGUGUAUAUAAGGUAGGAAAAGAACUAAAAAUAUUCUCACUCUGUUGUAGUAUCUGCUAAGGGGGGAAGGGUGGACUAGCCAUCUUUUGAAAUGAUGAGGUCAAGAUUCAUUUUGGAAAACCCUUCUCUCUAUUGUUCAAACAUGUAUGUAAAAGAUGGCAGAAAUACUUUCAAACAUCAUCAGGCUCAUUGGUGAAAACUAAUAAAGUUGCUGCUGCUCGAGCUUAUGAGCACAAACCUCAACUAAUAUUUCGGGACUUCAAUGAUAUUAAUGGCAAUUAUGAGAAGGAGUUAGGAGCUAUCAGGCAUAAGCCUCAUUUUCCUUAUUUUAUCAUAUGCUAUUGUUAUCCGGGCAUCAUGAUUUAAAACAAUAUAGGGAAGAUUUACUUGUAUUGGUAAUAAAUCCAAGUUCAAAAUUAAAUCUCAGAUUUAUAGAGCAGUGGCUAAUUAUGACUGCAUUGAUAUGUAAUCAUCUGCUUGUAUUUAUCAACCACCUUGGAUUGGUUCUGAUAAUCGGCCAUUAUUUAUUAGUACUUAUUCAUUAAAAUAUAGUGAAGAAAAAAAGUUUAGAUAUGAUAAUAGAUAGAUGCUGCAACACGAAGUAAAACAAAGAAAAAAUUGUAAGAAUGGGUCGUGAGUAAGUUAUCAAUUAGGAGUAUGGGUUAUGCCAAGUUUUUAUGGGACAUUUGCUAAAACCAACCCAAAUAUUCAAGUCAAAUGUAAAAGUAAACCCCACUUUCAGUCAAAUGCAAAACCAACCUAAAGGAGUAGUGAAAGUACUAUUUAACCCUUAUGACCAAACAAAAAACAGAAAUGUAUUUUACGUUUCUAUCCUUUGGAAGUCUACACGUAAUAAAAGAAGUCUACAUAUAUAUAGACUUCCUACGAAGUCUACCUUAUAGACUUGUUUUGUCGUCUACACUCUAAUUUGAUAAUUUAAUUUUGAAAAUGUAUAAAAAUAAUUAUUGUGAUAUUUUUAACUAAUCAUCAAUAUAAUGGAUAAUAUGAAGUAAAUAAAUUAAAAUUUCAUAUAAUCGAACAAUUUUGAAUAAUAUAUACUAAUUUGGUUAUCAUGUGUUAGACUAUGUUCAUACUUUAGAAACAAAAGGUUCUAACAUGUUAUGUCUUUUAGUAGUUGAUUUCAUAGGGUUAGAUUUUAGAUUUUUUUUUUUUGUUUUAUUAACUUAAAUCUGCAUAUUAAUGUUUAGUUGUUUAUAUUUUGUAUAAAUGGGACUUUUUGAUUAUCAAGCAAAACAUUUAGGGUUUGAGAUUUGUGGUUUAGGGUUUCGUAGACCUACAAUAAAAUCUAUUUAUCCGAAGACGUCUUUUUCAGUCUAUAUUUUUCAAUUUUUUUUACAAAACAUCAUUAUAUUUAAACUAAGUUAAGUUCCUUACGAAUAAAAAAGUGAAAUCAUAUACUAUAACUAUUAAAAAAUAAAUAAAUAAAUUUAAUAAAUCAUAUAUUAAAAUUAUUAAAAUAAUAAAGAAUAAACAACAAUAAUUAAAUUAUUAUAGUAGACUUCCAAAAAGGUCUACUAUGUUAUAGUAAGAUCUACUCCAAAAUUUUAAUUUUAGUAGACUUCAAACAAAGUCUACAGUAUCGUAAAUUUUAACCUAGUUACAUUUUUGUCUCCCUAUAUAAACAAAAUUUAUACAGUCUCUCUCUAAAGUGGCUGCACAAGUUUUUAAAACUCUCUCAUUUCUCUCUAAAACUCUCUCUCUUCUCUCUAAAAUUCUCUCAAUUGUUUCUAAAACUCUCUCAUUAUCUCCUUUCUCUCUAAAAUUUUCUCAAGUCUUUCUCACAAUAUUAUCUUGUCAUUUUAGAUAUUAUGAUUCAUGGUUUUCAUCUUUUCCUUUAAAAAAUGUAAGUUUUAGAUCUAUAGAUUUUAAAUGUGUAUUUUUAUGUUAUUUAUUUCUCACAAUAUUAUCUUUUUUUGGUAGGUAUUAUCACUCAUGGAUUUCAUCUUCUCCUCUAAAAAUGUAAGUUUUAGAUUAAUAGAUUUUAAAUAUGGAUUUACAUGUUUAUAUUCAAAUAAAUUUACAGAUCAAACUCUCUACAUUAAUUUGCUACUAGUUUACCUUAUAAAUUCUAUUAUGUAAAGUAUUUUCAGAUUUAAUAUUAUUUUCACAUUUCAAAAUAUAUAUAUUUUUUCAGAUCUGAAAAUUAUCAGACAGUGUAGACUUCUAAAGAAGUUUACUAAAGCUUGCAGACUUCAUAUGAAGUUUACUAAACCACAAAGUUUAAGCAGACUUCAUUGGAAGUCUACAAAAAUAUGACUUUAAUUUUUUUUAUGUUUUUUUAAUAAUUUUAUCUUAUUUUACAGGUAUUUUCUUUCAUGGUUGUUCUCUUCUCCUCCUAGAAAUGAAAGGUUUACAUCUAUAGAUUUAAAAUAUGUGUUCUAGUAUUGAUAUUCAAAUAAAGUUACAUAUUAAAAUUCAUAUUAAUAUGUCUUUAAUUUAUAACUAUUUUGUCUAUUAAAUCAUAUUUUUAAAAGUUUUUUAGAUUUAAACUUAUUUCAUAUUUUUAAUGUAUUUAUUUUUCAGAUCUAUUUUUUUAUAGAGUAGAUUUCAAAUGAAAUCUACUUAAAACUUACGGCUGGUAGACUUCAAAUGAAGUCUACUAGCUUUGACUUUUAAGCAUAUUUCAUUAGAAGUUUACUCAAAUAUGAUUUUAAUUUUUAUCUUAUUUUUCAUAAUUUUAUUUUAUUUUGCAGAUAUUCUUUUCCAUUGUUUUCAAAUCAACUUCCCAAAAAUGUAAGCUUUCCAUAUAUUCAUUAUAAGAUAUUUUGUGUUUAUAAUGAACUAAAUUUAUAGAUUCAUACAUUAUCUUUUUGCUUUGUUACAAUGAUGACAAAAAACCAUUUUUGAAAUAUUUUCCAGAACAAAGUAUUUUCAAAUUUUCUAAAUGCACACUUUUAGAUAUGAAAAUUUUUCAUUAGUGUAGACUUCAACUAAAGUCUACUAAACAAUAACUUUACGUAGACUUAAUAUAAAGUCUACUAAAAUAUGAUUUCAUUUUUUAUCUUAUGUUUUUCUCAUAACUCUAUUUUAUUUUGCAUGUACUUUUUCCAAGACUUUAUUUGAGGCAUCAAGAUUAUGAAAAAUCAAACAUACUCAAGAAUACUUUUUAAUAUAUUGCUCUGUAAUAACUUUCAUAAUAAAAUAUUAAUUUUUAAAUAAUUUUUUAAUGCAUAAUCUAUAAACAUUGUAUUCAUUUUUAGUUGUUUUCACUUGUAUGAUAUUAUUAAUUUUUUGUUAGAUAUCAAUUUUUUCACAAGAUCUAACCAACCAAACAAAUAAAACCACCAUAAGCUAAAAUAAUAACUAACACACAUGUGAGAAGAAGAAAAUCUAUACAAAAUUUUCCCAAAAAUUGUCAAGAGUAACACUAAUCAAAACAAUUUGCAAUAAGUAUCAAGUGUAUAAUUAUAACACAUUAAAUUGUGAAAUUCAUCCAAGACCAUUAAAAUUUUACUAACAUACACUGUAAAAUAAUUAAAUCAUGAAGAAAUAUGAUGAAUAAUACACAAAUACACUUUUAAUAGAAUUUACGACGUAGACUUCAACUGCAGUCUACAUUUGUAGAUUUACAAAAACGUCUACACUUAUUAUCUAACAUAUAGUCAAUCCAAAAAAAUUUAGUGUAUUUGGCGCAGGCUUGAUACACAAAGGCGUACAAAGUGUAUCUUAGAUAACUCGAUCAAGUUCCGUACUUGUCGAUUAUUCGUGACAGGCAUAAGAGGAGUAUUUGCCUAUUCGGAGUCAUUUGCUUUAAAUGAUGUUUGGUAAGGAAUAGGUUAGCACCAUCUUCUCAAUUUUGUUGUCCAGAUCAUAAUCUUCUUGUGUCAUUUCAAGAAAUUUACCAUGUGUACAGCCAUCAUGCACAAGGAACAUUCUUCAUCCUUUUCGAAUAUUUUGUCACCCAAAAUGUCUUUGGCCCAUGCUUCACACUCGUUCUAAGUUUUCAACCACAUCCUUGAACACGACACUUAGACAAAUACAGAGUUUUCGUUGUCUUAUAUACUGAGAAUGUAAAUUUAUAUUCCACAGCCACCGACUUCAGCUUUGAAACAAGCUCAACCUUACUAGCAAAACUAUAAACGAAGACUUACAAAUACGUCUACAAUUAUUAGCUAACAACAUUGUCAAAUCAAAUUAAUUAUACCUUCAUAAUUAUAAAAAAAAUUAUUUUCAAAAUCACUCAAACCAUUAGGAUUAACUAACACACACUGUCAAAUAAAAAAACUAGAAAAAAUUUAAUGAAUAAUACACAAAUUUAAUACACAAAUUCACAUUUUUAUAGAUAUUUCUAUGCAGACUUAAUAUUCAGUCUCUGAAGAUGUAGACGUUCUUUUCAGUUUACAAACGUAGACUGUCAAAUAGGUUUACUCUUUGGGUUAGUUUUUGCAAUUGACCAUUUUACGGGUUGCUUUCUAUAGUUGAAUAAAAGUUGUGAUUUUGUACAUGUAGACUUUCAUUUCAGUCUACAAUUUAAAAAGGUUACUUUUUGCAAUUGACUAGAAUUCAUCCAAGAUUUGACUUUUAGUACUAGACUUCAUAUGCAGUCUACAUGUUUAAAUUUUUUUGAAAGAGGUUAGUUUUGCAAUUGACCAAGUUUGACUUCCAGUCAGUAGAUUGAAAUGAACGUCUACGGGUGUGUAGACUUCUUGUGAAGUCUACUCUCAGAUCCGACGGGUUGGUUUUGCAUUUGACCAAAAUAAAAAAGUAGACUUUAUAAGCAGUCUACAUUUUUUUUUAAGAUAAGAAGACUGCAUAUGAAGUCUACAAUUUAAUAAAUUUUUGAUUGCUUUUUAAACUUUUUGGUCAAACACAAAACUAACCUAUUCCACGAAGUCAAAAUUUUGGUCAAAUGCAAAACUGACAUUUUAUAGACUUCGUUGGCAGUCUACAUUUUGUAGACUUCCGUUGAAGUUUAUUUUGAAAAGUCAAAAGUUCGGUCAAAUGAAAACUAACCUCUUUUAGGUAGACGUCUUAGUAAGUCUACCGAAAGUUUUAUUUUUGUUGUCAAAGGUAAAGACGGAGACUACUGGGAAGUGUGCGUUAGAAAAAAAAUUUAUCUGGUCAAUUGCAAAACUAACCCGUGCGUUGACAAAUAGACUGCAUCAUAAGUCUCCACAGAGGCGUAGACAUACAAAACAGUCUACCGUCGCGACACAGAUCUGAAAAAGAACGAAAACCAUGUAAAUAGUUAUAUUUUUCCUGUGUAAAGCUCGUUUCCAACCUUUUCAACCGUCCAAACUCCAAAUAUGAGCAAAAUGAAGCAUCUUUAACGAUUCACUAAUGAAGAAAUUCGAAAAUAUGAAGUUUGUGAUUAUGAAAAUGAUAGUUAUGAGAGUUUUUUAGAUGGAAAUGUAGAGGAGAUGAGAGGAAAUGAAGUUUUUUGGGUUAGAAUGAGAAAAAAAAGUUGUUGAAAAUUGAAUACUAGAGCUUUAGAGCUCAAAAAAUGGUGGUUCAUGGUGGUUGAAAAAGUUGAUGAUGAUGGCAUUUUUGUAAAUAAGAAGAAAUGGUUAGGGUGUAUUUGGUUUUUUGUUAAUUUCGAAAUUAAUAAAAAACUAAAUAAAAAUGGUAAUUUUUUAAAUAAUUGAAAAACAUAAGGAUAGUAUGCAAAUUUUAUUGAUGAAUAGUAUGGACAAAAAAAAGGAUUGGUUUUGGGUUUGACUUGAAAAUAUGGGUUGGUUUUGAAAAACACCCAGUUUUUAUUUGCAAAGAGGACAACAUACUUUUUUGACCCAAUAACAAAGUCUUGUAAAAGUCUCUGCAGACCCUAUGGAACACAAAUAUUCACAGUUUUACCAUUUUGAUUUUUUUAGAAAGAAAAAAUAAUAAAAGGUGACCUACUUUAUAUUUACAAUUUUUGUUGUUUGUACUCUCUCUCCCUGAUUGUCUUAAGAUAAAUUAUAAAAGAAAAAUGCUCUCUCUUUCUUCUUCUUUUUUCUGUUUUCUAUCUACUUCUUUCACAGGGAGGACGAUGAGGAGAUGAGGUUACAUCUUUUGUCUUUGGUUCUUCUGAUCAAUAGAUCAGAUUUUUAGUUUCUCUUUGGAGAUUUUUUUUUUUUCAUGGCGAUUUUGGAGUGUAGUUUCAGUUUAAUCAGAACAGAUCUCCAAUCUUUUUAUUUUUUAUAAAAUUUAAAUUAAUUUUUAAAACUUUAUAUAUUAUUCUAAUGAAUCAAUUAAAAUCAAUAUAUCAUAUAAGGUUAAAUAUUCAAUUUAAUAAAUAUUAAUAAAUCAUAAAAUUCACAGAAUAUCUAUAAAAUUAGUUUUUUAUUUAUUUAUUUUCUAAUUACUAAAAACAAAAUUAAUUAAAAUAAUUGUUUGAGCAAAUUUUAAAUCAAUUUUAUAUUCUGAAGAAACUAAUACUAAAUAAAAUAAAAUAAAAAUAAUUAUAGAAAGAAAGAAUAUUUAGGUAACACAAAAACAAAGGUAAAAGGAAAAAUAUUUUGUGAGAAAGUGAUUAAAAGUGUUUAAAAAAGUAAAGAAUAAAAAAAAAUUAAAAGUGAAAAAUAGUUUAGGUAACACAAAAACAAAGGUAAAGGCAAAAAAUAUUUCUUGACAAAGUGAUUAAAAGUGUUUUAUUUUAGUCUAAUUUUUAAAAGCAAACUGAAUAAAAAUGAUUGUUUGAGUAAAUUUCAAAUAAAUUAUAUUUUUGAAGAAACUAACACAAAAUAAAAGAAAUUAUAUAUAAAAAAGGAAUAGUUUAGGUAAUUAACGCAAAAACAAAGGUAAAAGGGAAAACUAUUUGGUGACAAUGAUCAAAAGUGUUUUUAAAAAAAUUGAAAGAAAUGAAGAACAGGAGGGGAGGCUCGAACAUGAAUUGGGCGAGGCACCAAUCGUCAAGAAUUAGCCGGAAGAACUAACACUUUCACUACGUACAUAUUUACUCAAAGGAUUUAUAUUAUUGAGCAUGUGUCACGUGCCACACUUAUUAGGUGUGUGAAUCCACCCCUACUUACAAGGCUUUAGCGUAUUAGGUGUCAUGAUUGUUAAAUAUUAGGACUAGAUAAUCGUGUGAAAGUGUAAGUCUGAGUCCCUGUACUUGUAGGUUUAACAUCACAUUAUCAAUGACUGACUUUCCUGUUGCUCACUCUCCCUUUACCCUUUUCGGGUGAGAUUGAGUAUUAGUUAGUAGUUGGACGUUGAACGCUUUUUUGCUACUUGGUAUUUUUAUUUUCUUUUAAUUUUUUUUUUUGAUUAUUCAGUUAAUGGAGAUGUUAUUUAAUUAUUAAUAAAGUGUGAUUUAGGAUAAAUUGAAGAUACAUGAAAAAGUGUUAUUGUAAGUGAUCCAACAUUCUCUAGAAAGGAUGUGAUGAGUGUUAUAUUCUUAAGCGGUGAUUUCUGAAUGACCCUUUCUUGCAUGGCUAACUCUGUGUGUAUAUAUAUAUAUUGAUUAGUUUUGCCAGUUCAUUUUAUUUUUCUCUUCUAAUUGGCACUCCUCACUUUGUGUUAAUUUUCCUUUUAAGUAUUCUUUAUCUUGAGCCUGUCUAAAAUCUAAAAUAGGUCAUGUGAAGGAAGAGAAGCCCAUCUACAAUAAAAUGGUUUGUAACAAUUUUUAAAAAUAUAAAAUGAGAUACAAACUCACAGCCACGAGAAAAUAAAGACAACGAUAAAAAAAUAUUUAAAAGAAAAACAAAAGAAAAAUAUGGUUUGACAGCAAAAAAAAAAUAUUUUCAAAACUAUUGAAAUAAUCUAUAAUUUUUAGAAACAACUACAAAAUAGAAAAGAAAUAAAAAAAUUAGAUAUAUUCAGUUAAAUAAAAGGAAAGAGGACCACAAAUAGUUGAAAAUAAAAUAUAUCAUAACUAAAAUGUAUAUUAUACAUAUAUGUUAAGAUUAUAUUGUAUACAGUGAAUCAUAGAUAUGUCAAAUUUUUAUUGAUUACUUUUAUCAAAGAAAAAAAUAAUAUCCAAUUAUAGCUUGGUUCAUAUGGUAUCAGUAAUUUACUAAAAAGGUACCUUACACUUAGCAUAUAUAUCAUCUCAUAAAAGUAUUUGAUUUUCUGAAUUGUAACAAUCUUUAUUAACAUAUAACAUUUUUACAUUUUUGUAAUAGUUAAACAUGUGUUCCAAUAGUCUGUCAUACUCCAAAAAAAAACAAAUCGUUUUCGGUUCGGGAAUUGUGAAAAAUAAUCCACAACAAUUGUAAAUGUAACAUAAGAAGAAAUGUAAAAUAUUCUUCUUCUUUUUUGCGAAAAUUUAAAUAUCAUAUAGAUGAUUUGAAGAUCUUAAUUCUUAGGUCAGAGCCACUUCAGAAAAUAGAAAAAAAAAACAAGGCGGAUCAAUAGAAUGUUUACUUUGUUUGAAUGACUAUAAAGUUUUGUUAGGGAUAAUUCAGACUAUGUUAAAUUAAAAUUAUCAUUUGAGCGGUAAACCUUUCACAAUGCGAUUUACACCCAUCAUUUAUAUCUUUGAUUUUUUAUUUGUAACAGUUAUUGGUUGGUAAAAUAUCUAAUUAUCGUAUGGAUAAAAUGAGAUAAUGAAAUCUUUCUGUUCAUUAUCUUUAUUCUAUUAAAUUUGUGACCCUCAUAUAUCUGUAUAAAACGAACCUAUUACAUAACGAGAACAAUAUAGUUUAUCUUUAAUUUUCACAUUCUCUAAACUUUGGGCGGUCGGUAUUUUUUCUCAGUUCUUAAAAAUCCCAGUCAGUUAUGUCAAAUUGUAGCAUUGAACAACUGCAUGCUUUCUAUGUUCAAGAAAGACUGCUUUUCAUUAAAUUGGUACAAAAAUUUUCAAGAUCUCUAGCUGAGUCACUUCUUGUCAUGGCCACAUGGCUUUGGCUUGAAGACUUUGGCUUUGAGCACAUCUUCUCAGUCAUCAUGGCUCUCAACGAUCCACUCAUUGCAGCUCUUGCUAAUGAGGCUGUCUUAUGCUUCCGGUGUCUUGAAUCCGAAGAACCUCCAAAUGGUUUCAGUCAGAUCCCUGUGACUGCAGAAUUUAUGGAUAUAUCUCUUCAAAUAAUCUACCAAAAUCGAUACAGUGCCAUCACAGGAAUCAAAAACUUUUUAACCACUGUUUGCUCAAGAAUUUUCUCUGACAUCGUUCAACAAGUUCUCCCAUCCUCCUACAUCACUAGCCACAACCAGCCUCUCAUCAUCCCCGGGUUCCCGCAUCCAACUUUUGGGAGCAUCAACGUGAUGCCUAGUGUUGCUUCCUUGGAUAAUUUCUCCAGCAGAAAUUUAUUCCAUAUCCCUAGUGGUAUAUGGGGCUGGAAUGCUAGUUGCAUCGCAACUGAAAACGACCGGACCCUUUUUCUAACGUUUUCUCGUGGAAUCCCAGUAUCCGAAGCGGAAGUGAGGCUGGUAUUCACAGAAAAAUAUGGAGAAAACUGUGUUAAGGGCGUUCACAUACCUAAGUACGGUGGAAACUUACCCAAUGAGAACUUGAAUAGUAAUCAGGAUGUUCAACAACAAUCACUAUAUGCGAGGCUGGUCUUGGAUUCAGUCGUUACUGUAGAUCGUAUACUUAUGGGCGAGAGUAAACAAAAGUUUUACAUCGACGGGAAGCCUAUUUGGGCUCGUAAAUUUAAAAAUAGAUACAGAAAAUAAAAAGAUGCCUAUGUAACUUGUUCAAGUGACAAUAUUAUUAUCUUCUCUUUCUUUUUUUCUGAUGCUAAAUCUCUUAUCUUAUGUCAUAAAUAAUCAUAUUGUUGGAUAUGCUGACAAAAAAAAAUAGUUGUCUUGGAUAUCUUUCUUUCCUGUCUAAUCGAAAUAUUUUGAUUGGGAAUAAUGGACUACCCUCUAAAUAAACAUAACUCCAGUCUAAAGGCUAGAUGUUACAACUUACAACCUUCUCUCCAAUAAACCGAUUACCCCGAAGAGAAAAAGUGAUCUAACAAAGGAAUAACACAAAUAAACCAUAAAAUAGAGGUUUUAACCUUCUCUCUAGAUCUAUCCAUUUGUUAUUGACUGUUUGUCGACUCCGGCUGCUUCCAUAGAGCUGUAGUCGCUCUUUGUCUUUUGAUCUAGAUAUUUCGCUUUUGCUCUCGUUUUACUCUACAUGUGGAUUUCCAGACCUUCGAUCUUGCUUUGCCCCUUCCAGAAGGAACAAGAGUUUUAGCUAAUCUUGCUGUGUGUUAAUCGUUCUUCUCCUAUUAAUCUUUCUAGUCAGCGUGGGUUGGGUUUACUACCCUUCAGAUCUAUUUAUUUCCAAGAUACAUAAUGAUGGAUUGAAUGAUUUGCAUGUUGAUAUUAAUCUCUCUUAAUUUGGCUCAUAUUUGGUUUCGAUCUUCAUCCUUGUCAAGUUCUCGAUCAACUUUGAACCUGUUUAUGAGUGGUUUCGGUCCUUGUGGUUUAUCUUAUGAUUUGAUCGAGAUCUACAGUCUGUCGUGCUUCAAUUUUGCGUUUUAAGUCGGUUUUUCUCUGUCUGCGCAUUUCUGGUUGAUGACUUAUGAACUAAAAGUGGUUCUGUCUCCUAGAGUAUGAAGCUUUAGUCUCUUAUUCUCUUGGGAUAUUCACUAUAGGAGGAUUCCCUCGUCUUGUCUUUAUCAAAAAGCUCUAAAGAAAAUCUUCAUGACUUGUUUUAUUUGAAACACUUUUUUUUUUGAAACACAAUCUUCAUGCCUUGUUGUUAUUGAUUUUUGUUGGGUUUUUUUUUAUCUGUUCCUUGCUUCUGCCAGUUUGGAUCUGUUAGUUUAGAUUAUGUGCUUGUUCUAUGUUUCCAUAUUUUCCCAUUUUUGGACUUUCGUCUCUGAAGACCUUUGUGUUGGUUUGUCGGCUCUUGAUUACCAGAGUUCAUUGAAAUUGUAAGAUUUUGUAACUGUUCUUGUUGAAUAUAAUCCUUCUUUUAUUGUUAAAACAUCCUCAGUAAUGAACACUGGGCCAAAGAGGAUGACACUCAUUGCAGUCUCUCGAAAUACUUUUCAAUGAGUUGGAUACCUCUCUUCUCUGAUUGCAAAAAUAGUCCACAUCGAAUGUAAAUGUAAAAAAUGAAAUAUAAAGUGUUCAUAUUUUUUUAAUGAUGCCGAGGUUUUGGGUUUGUAAGCUCGUGCACCUUUCUAGACAAAAACUAAACCUAUAUUAAAUUAAUUCUCUUUUGGAGGUAUACCGUUCACGUUAGGAUUUAAUUCAAAUUCUGAUAUCUUUAAUUUUUUAUUUAUAAUUAUUUCUUAAAAAUUAUUAUAAAAUAUCUAGUAUAAUAUGUGGUUUGUCUUUUAUUUUAAAAAUUUGUGACCC
rnacentral:lncRNA from 1 species